UAGUACCUAGUUAUUACAUAGUUAUUGUAAUUACUAUAAUAAGUACAUAGUAUUUACAUGAGGAACAGGACUGUAAAAUAAAGUGCUACCGGUAUUACUUUACAAUAAGACCUCAUUAGUUAACCUUAGUUACUGCAUUAACAUUCACAAUAAACAAUAGCUACAUUUGCUACAGAAGUUAUUAAUCUUUGUUAAAAAGUACAAGUCUUAGUUCAUGUUAGCUCAUUAAAUAACACAGUUGCAACUUUAGAUUUUAACACUGUGUUGUUAAAUAUUGGAAUACCUAAGAUCGAUGAAUGUUCAGAAGAAAUUUUCAUUGGCAGUUUGUUAACUAAUGAAGCCCUAAUGUAAAGUGUAAACAAACAACAAAGAAUCAAAACACUUUCAAACAAUAUCUAGGGCAUGUUGCAGUCCAGAUUAAAAUGUAAAAAAAAAAAGUUUUUUAAAUGAAUAGCCUAUUAAGUCUAAAUAUUUAAGUAUUUGGUGCUGUGAUGAGCACCACAGCGAAUACACAAAUAUAAAUAGUUAUUGAAAUCUACUUAAAUACGUUUUUUGAAAAUAGUGCAGCUGCUUUAUUUUGGGGGUUUCCAGGGUAAGGGCUGCAUUUUCUGCAGUUUAGCGCCCUCUGCUGUCAGAAUGAAUGUGCUUUCAUUCAGCGCAUCUCUCGAGUGUUCCUCAUGUGCUUCUCAUGUGUGCUUGUUUACAUCAGAGCACACACAUACAGUGGUGUUGUGCAUUUUGACCAGUUGAUGGGAAAAGUAUUCUUAAAAUGCAUCCCAAAUUCUGAAUAAUUUGUAAUAUAAUUAUUCACAGUAUUUAGAAGUGCCCAUGAUAACAAUAUUGUGCAUAUUCAUUACCGUGAUUUAUCGCAUUACCGAAUACUGGCACAUGUCUAGUCAUGAGACAGUGAGUGUCAUCCGAACAAAUUUUUAAAGAUAUUUUUUUAAGAUUGACCCAGAAUAAUAGUAAAUAAUCUUUUAUAGUUAUGUAUAUACAAAAUUGUUUCUGCUACCAAGAUAUGAUGGUUUAAGUGGUGGAGUUUGAAUCCAGUGGUGCCUUGUUCAUUUGUUUUUCUUUAAUCAUCCAAAGGACUUAGUGAACAAUAAAUAGAAACAGGAUAAAAACUACUUUAAAACAAUUAAAAAAUAUUUGUAAAAAAAAUUCUAGCUAUAAUAUAAUUGUUUCAUUGACUAAAAAAAUAAAGGAGGGGCCGUUUCUGUCCAUGAAUGUUCUUUCUCCAUCUUUUGCCUAAACUGACUCUAAAAAGAAGAUUAUGGGAAAAGCAGAUCUCAUUAAUAUUCAUUAACUCAUUAGCAUACCUCCUUAGUUAAAAUAUUAUUUAAAAUACCAGUAAUUCUAUUUUCACUAGUUGCAUGGGCAAUUCCUGAUAUCAAUUUCAAUGCAACUGUAAUGUUCCCCGGUCCAGAAACGUAGUAAGGACAUCAAUAAAACAGACCAUGUGACAUCAGUGGCUCAACUUCAGUUUUAUGAAGUGCAAUCUAUUCUGCUUACCCGACUCAUGCAGACUUAUGUCCUGAUAUUUGGCUGUAGUCCUUCCAUUAUCCACUCUUCUGCAACCGGUCUAUUUAUGGAGACCACCAUGGUCUAAUCUAUACAGAUCUAGUUGUCUCUUCUCCUCCAAACUCCUCUUUCAGAUUUUGAGCAGAUCUCCUUCAUUCUGCCGCCAGCUCACCAGAACCUCUGGGUGGACCAGCUGUGGAUAUUACAGGCCAAACUUUGGGUGAGGAUCUUUCUCCCACUGUUCACCACCAAACCUCUUCCUAUAUGUAAACAGUUGUUUAGCACACUGUUGUCUAUAUUUGAAUGGUUAAUUUUUAGGCUGCAACCAAUUAUCUUAAUCAAAUAAUGUUUUAGAUUAAUUUGAUAAAAUGCCACAUUUUAUUUU